GUGGGGAAUCUUGCGCAAUGGGCGAAAGCCUGACGCAGCCAUGCCGCGUGAAUGAUGAAGGUCUUAGGAUUGUAAAAUUCUUUCACCGGGGACGAUAAUGACGGUACCCGGAGAAGAAGCUCCGGCUAACUUCGUGCCAGCAGCCGCGGUAAUACGAAGGGGGCUAGCGUUGCUCGGAAUUACUGGGCGUAAAGGGCGCGUAGGCGGACAGCUUAGUCAGAGGUGAAAGCCCAGGGCUCAACCUUGGAAUUGCCUUUGAUACUGGCUGUCUUGAGUUUGGGAGAGGUGAGUGGAACUCCGAGUGUAGAGGUGAAAUGCUUAGAUAUGGCACAGAACACCAAUUGCGAAGGCAGCUCACUAAGGCGAUACUGACGCUGAGGCACGAAAGCGUGGGGAUCGAACAGGAUUAGAUACCCCAGUAGUCC
rnacentral:rRNA from 1 species